rnacentral:lncRNA from 1 species
UGAUUAUAAAAGUCUUUGGCAAGAACUUGUCCGAGAUAGAACGUAUAAUUGUACAUGUAGCAGCCAGCAAAGGUUUGUUCAUUCAUCUUGAUGACCUUUUCCAGACAUUGUUGUUGGAUGAAAGCGCUAUUUACUCUAGUUACCUCUACUACCUAUUUUCAUUUCUUUUCUAACUUAAUCUGUAGAUCACUUUGCAUCUUCCUCAUAAGCAGAAUAUUAGAUGUGGCUUUACUUGCAGCUUGUGGUACACAUGGAUCACUUUGAAUUGGUGCUUUAUGUGACUCAUUCUUGUAUAAGCUAAGUAGCUUCUGGUAGCCUCAUUGUGUUUGUAGAUAUGAGCGAGAUCUCACAAUCGCUAUUCUUAAGCUUGACACUCGAACGCCAAUUGUAGAACGAAUACAGUGGACAUACUAGAAAAUAAUUUCAUAAUUAUAUUUUAUAUUUCAUUUGUUGCAACAGACUUCAUGCUGUAGUGGUUGCUUUGAGCUUUUGAUAAGCAUUCUUCGCUUCUAUUGCUUAAAAUACAAUAGAAUUGAUGAAUGCACACGUUUACUUUGUGGUUUAUUAACUUUGACAAGCAUUAGCUUAUGCACUUAGUAUGAGCACCUUGAGCUUUUGUUCAUGCGGCAUGACUCCGCAUUUCAAUGCUUGUUAGAUGUGUGUCGUUUGAGGAGCAUUUACUUUUCA